GGGCGAAUAGCUCAGCUGGGAGAGCACCUGCCUUACAAGCAGGGGGUCACAGGUUCGCGCCCUGUUUCGCCCACCA
rnacentral:tRNA from 1 species